rnacentral:lncRNA from 1 species
UAUUCUCACAAUGACAUCUCCAGGUCUUCAAACGGAAGACUACGACACAAAUGGCCUGCCUUCACCGUGCUGCAAUUUCUUCAACAGGUAACUUGCUUAGCCUGUGCUACGUAUUCAUACUGCACGUGGAUGUCACUGAAUGUCCUUUCUCUUCCAAUACAUAUCUGUAUCUAAAAGCACACGGUUUGCUUGCAGAUUUUCUUCCUUCCCUUCUCCUCCCUAUGGGAAGCUGCCCACUCCACCCCGAAAACACUGUCCCCCAAAGCAAGGGGACGCGCUGCACCCUCGGCUGUCACCGCGAGGGCUCGGCGCGCAUGCGCGGCGCGAGCGGCCGGGCCCCACAGCCGCAGGUCGUUGGUAAGGCGGGUCCGCGGACCCCAGGUCGAGCCCAGCGGCAGUGCAGGAUCGCAAGCGGCCCGGCACCGGCGCCGCAGAAUACCCAUCCCAUAGAUGUACUUGGGAUAGACAGCUUCUGGCACUCCUCCCAAGAUCUCUCCCUCCUGGUAUUCAGGCCCUUGUGUGAUCCUUUCCUCUUGAGUGUGGGUUGGGCCUGGUGACCCACUUCUAACAGAAGAUGGGAAAACUGAUGGAUUAUCACUUCUUUGUUAAGGUUACAAAAACCUGAGACUUCCAUUUUGCUGGAAACUUCUUUUCCUCUUGCACACUCACUCUGCGACUCUGUGUGGAGAGCUCCAUGUGACAAGGGAGGUCUGCAGCCUAAGCAACUGAGACCUCAGCCCAACAGCCCUCAAAGAACUGGAUCUUCAAACAACCACAUGAGUGACCUAGAAGCAAAUCUGUCACCAGUGCUCUUGAGACGGGCUGAAGUAUUUAAUCACCGGCACAAAAUGUCCCAGUGUUCUGUUCUCCUGCUGUGGAAAUUUUAGAGAAAAGAUCAUGAUCUAAGAGUCUACAAGACCAGAGCAGCCUGAAUUGCUGAGCUGCCUGGUGGAGAAUAGCAGCAUUGGGUGGUUCCCAGGAUUCUUAAAAGGACUUUACAAAGGCCUGGCCUAAUCACUUAAGAGCUCUUAAGGAGUGAAUGGGCUCUUCCUGAAAAAAGAGCUUCUGCUAACCCUGAAAAGCAAGCAACAACCCUGUGAACUGCUAUGGAGAGAGAUGGCCUCUAACAGCUGAGGACCUCAGUCCUACAACCACAAGAAACUGAUUUCUGCCAACAACAUGAAUGAACUUGGAAAAGGCCCCUGAGCUCCAGAUGAGAACACCCAGGUCAACUCAGGUCAUGAGCAGAGAACCCUGUUAUAUUCUCCUUGGCUUGUGAUCCAUAAACAAUGAGAUUAUAAAUGUGUGGUUUUUAAGCCAUUAGGUUUGUGGUAACUUGUUACACAAGCCUCUUUUAGAUUCUUUACAUACACAAAUAUAUUCUAAACGAAUAAUGAGUCUUCCUUUCCCAUCUUUAUACCAUUUACUUCUUAUUCUUCCCUUACCGCUUUAAGACCUCUAGUAUAAAGUUGACUAGAAAAGGUGGUAGUGGCAUUAUUGUGUAGUUCUUUAUAUCAAAGGGAAGAUUUUCAAUGUUUUCAUGUUAAGUAUGACAUUUACUGUAGGUUUUUCAUAGAUGCUCUUUAAUCAGUUUAAGCAAUUCUUGUCUAUCCCUAGAAUUAUUGUCAGGAAUAAAUGUUGACUUUUAUCGAACACUGUUUCUGCACCUUUUAAAAAUAUCAUAUUUUUUCCUUCAAAUGGUUACUGUGUUGAAUUAUAUUAGCAGACAUUCUAAUGUUAAAGUAACCUAUCAUUCCAGAGAAAAGGAGGUGAGAAUAGCAGUUUAGUUAUGAUGCUGUAUCCCUUUUAUAAAUUCUUGGAUGCAAUUUGCCAAUAUUUGGUCUAAGAUUUUUGCAUUAUGUUAAUGACUGGAAAUGAGUCUUAAUUUUCCUUUAUUUUUCUGGCUUCUUUGUGUUUCGAUAUCAAGAAUAUGCAAGUCUCAUGCAAUAAAUUCUAUGGAAGAGUU